rnacentral:rRNA from 1 species
CCUGGAGAUACUUGUAUUUCCGGGGGAGAGUGGCGCACGGGUGAGUAACACGUAGCUGACCUGCCCGGCACCGGGGGAUAACCUGUCGAAAGACGGGCUAAUACCGCGUAGGCUCACAGGAGUUAGAGGUCGUGUGAGUAAAACGAAGGCAGUGGUGCCGGAGGGGGCUGCGGUCCAUCAGUUAGUUGGUAGGGUAACGGCCUACCAAGGCGACGACGGAUAGGGGGCCUGAGAGGGUGACCCCCCACACUGGAACUGAGACACGGUCCAGACUCCUACGGGAGGCAGCAGUAAGGAAUAUUGCACAAUGGACGCCAGUCUGAUGCAGCAACGCCGCGUGGAGGAUGACGGCCUUCGGGUUGUAAACUCCUUUUCUGAGGGACGAGCAAGGACGGUACCUCAGGAAUAAGUCUCGGCUAACUACGUGCCAGCAGCCGCGGUAAAACGUAGGAGGCGAGCGUUAUCCGGAUUUACUGGGCGUAAAGCGCGGGCAGGUGGUGACCGAAGUCAUGCGUGAAAGCUCCCGGCUCAACUGGGAGAGGUCGUGUGAAACUGGGUUACUGGAGGCAGGGAGAGGCAGACGGAAUUCCGGGUGGAGUGGUGAAAUGCGUAGAGAUCCGGAGGAACACCAGUGGCGGAGGCGGUCUGCUGGCCCUGACCUGACACUCAGCCGCGAAAGCAUGGGGAGCGAACGGGAUUA